AUAUUACAUAAGAACAUAAUUUUUAAUAUCUCUUCCAAACUCUCCUCCAGGGGCACCUAGUCCUCCACCCAUUAUUUAAAUCAUCAGUUAAUGUUCGUUUUCAUAGGACAAAUGAAACCAACUAGUUCUUACUCAAAAUGUACGAAAAUAACUUCUUACAGUGUUAGCCCCUUUUUUAAAAUCUUAAUUGAACUAAUUAACAAGAUAAAUUAAAAAGUUUGAAUUUAUAUUUAUUUAAAAAAAUUAAAUUUUUAUACCCUUUUGAAAUGAGAAUGGUUUGAUUAGGACUUAAAAUUUUUCAAUUAAAUGUUUUUUUCCUUUAAUUUUUUUCUUUAGUUUUGUUUUAAUUUUUUAUUUUGAAAGAUAGUCUCAAAUGACAAAUUUAAA
rnacentral:lncRNA from 1 species